GAUGAACGCUAGCUACAGGCUUAACACAUGCGAGUCGAGGGGAAACGACAUCGAAAGCUUGCUUUUGAUGGGCGUCGACCGGCGCACGGGUGAGUAACGCGUAUCCAACCUGCCCAUCACUUGGGAAUAACCUUGCGAAAGUAAGACUAAUACCCAAUGAUAUCCCACGAAGGCAUCGGAAUGGGAUUAAAGAUUUAUCGGUGAUGGAUGGGGAUGCGUCUGAUUAGCUUGUUGGCGGGGUAACGGCCCACCAAGGCAACGAUCAGUAGGGGUUCUGAGAGGAAGGUCCCCCACAUUGGAACUGAGACACGGUCCACACUCCUACGGGAGGCAGCAGUGAGGAAUAUUGGUCAAUGGGCGAGAGCCUGAACCAGCCAAGUAGCGUGCAGGAAGACGGCCCUAUGGGUUGUAAACUGCUUUUAUAAGGGAAUAAAGUGGGUCACGUGUGACUUUUUGCAUGUACCUUAUGAAUAAGGACCGGCUAAUUCCGUG
rnacentral:rRNA from 1 species